rfam:Daucus carota subsp. sativus cultivar DH1 chromosome 5, whole genome shotgun sequence.
AUACCUUUCUCGGCCUUUUGGCUAAGAUCAAGUGUAGUAUCUGUUCUUAUCAGUUUAAUAUCUGAUAUGUGGGCCAUAGGUCCACACGAUAUUAAAUUUAUUUUUUAAGGGGGAAGGCCCAUCACAAUAGCUUGCUAUUGGGGUCUUUGCGCGUCGCCCAAGCGUUGCACUACUGCUCGGGCCUGGCGCACCCCAC